UACGGAGGGUGCAAGCGUUAUCCGGAUUUACUGGGCUUAAAGGGUGCGUAGGUGGGGAGGUAAGUCAGUGGUGAAAUCUCCGGGCUUAACCCGGAAACUGCCAUUGAUACUAUCUGUCUUGAAUAUCCUGGAGGUGAGCGGAAUAUGUCAUGUAGCGGUGAAAUGCUUAGAGAUCGGAAAGAACACCAACGGCGAAAGCACUCUGCUGGGCCGACACUGACACUGAGAGACGAAAGCUAGGGGAGCGAAUGGG
rnacentral:rRNA from 1 species